rnacentral:rRNA from 1 species
GAUGAACGCUAGCGGCAGGCUUAACACAUGCAAGUCGAGGGGCAGCAUGAGGGUUAGCAAUAACUCUUGAUGGCGACCGGCGCAAGGGUGCGUAACGCGUGAGCAACUUGCCCGUUUCUGGGGAAUAACCGGUGGAAACGCCGACUAAUACCCCAUGGCAUUGAUUUCAGGCAUCUGUUAUCAAUUAAAGGAAUUUCGGAAACGGAUAGGCUCGCGUGACAUUAGCUAGAUGGCGGGGUAACGCCCACCAUGGCGACGAUGUCUAGGGGUUCUGAGAGGAAGGUCCCCCACACUGGAACUGAGACACGGUUCCAGACUCUACGGGAGGCAGCAGUGAGGAAUAUU